UACGUAGGGUGCAAGCGUUGUCCGGAAUUAUUGGGCGUAAGGGCUCGUAGGCGGUCCAUCACGUCGGGAGUGAAAAGCUGGGGCUUAACCCCAGCCUGCUUCCGUACGGGUGGACUAGAGGUAGGUAGGGAGAACGGGAAUCCUGGUGUAGCGGUGAAAUGCGCAGAUAUCAGGAGGAACACCGGUGGCGAAGGCGGUUCUCUGGGCCUUACCUGACGCUGAGGAGCGAAAGCGUGGGGAGCAAACAGG
rnacentral:rRNA from 1 species